UCUCUGGUGGCUCAGAUGGUAAAGAAUCUGCCUGAAGUGCAGAAGACCCAGGUUCUAUCCCUGGGUAGAGAA
rnacentral:tRNA from 1 species